AGACUCGUGCAUGUAUCUAGCAGGAAUUCCAUCUGCGUCUGCACCUGGGAUCGAGACUUGCCCUUGAGCAGCCCGUCGUCCAGGUCUUGCAUUAAGGACUGGGAUUCAACUGACAGCCCUGACAGGGAAAGCCAUGACGCCCAUCGCAUGGAGAUAGCCGUGGCCAUCGAACGAGCCGCCGUGUCAGCUGCAUCCGAGGCGGCCUGGAGAGCUGCUUUCGCUGCCGCCACACCCUCAUCAACUAGAGCCCUGAACUCCUUCCUAUCCUGCUUUUGGAGGGAGGGCUCGAAUUUUGGCAAGGAGCCCCACAAGUUAAAGUCAUACCUGCUCAGGAGUGCUUGAUGGUUUGCAACCCUGGGCUGGAAACUGGCAGAGGAAUAAACUUUUUUUCCCAAAAG